GGACUACAGGGGUAUCUAAUCCUGUUUGCUCCCCUUGCUUUCGCGCCUCAGCGUCAGGUGUAAGCUAGAAAACCGCCUUCGCCACUGGUGUUCUUCCACAUAUCUACGCAUUUCACCGCUACUUGUGGAAUUCCGUUUUCUCCGCCUACCCUCUAGAAAAGAAGUUUCAAAUGCUGUUCCGGAGUUGAGCUCCGGGAUUUCACAUCUGACUGACUUUCCCGCCUACGCGCCCUUUACGCCCAAUAAAUCCGAUUAAUGCUUGCACCCUACGUAUUACCGCGGCUGCUGGCAC
rnacentral:rRNA from 1 species